UUGUGACAAAUUCUGCCUGACUAUGCCACAACAGUGGCUAGAUUAUGUUUAGAAAAAUUGGUUUAUAGUUUCUAACGUUGCCUUUUUAUCUUCUGGUAUUUUGAGGGGAAAUGGACUACUUAAGAUACUCCCAGUUGGUGCUCUGGAACAUCGUGGAAACCGAAGGAGGAGUAGAAGUACAGAAGGAGAAAGCUUUCAUAGAUGGGUCAAAGACUGGAACAACUUACCAUACUUCAGGGAAAAGAGAUGAACAGCUAUUCUGAUGCUUUUGAAAUCACACAGGAUUUGUGGCCAGUGAUGUCAGAAAUUCGGGAUUCUAGGCUCAUUAUUUCAGAGACCCAAGACGGGGUGGAAUGAAGUCCUCCACUUCUAAGAAGAGCAGUGAGUAACUAUACCAGCUUUCUUUAAAUUCAUAUGUCAUGUGAUCUGUGCCAUACCCUAAGGUCUCUGUGUUCAUCUUUUCAAUGACUUUCUGGAGAAUAUCUUCAUUAUGUGUCCUUUUAUUUGGUGAGUGUAUCCACCCUCAUUUCCAAAUUGUAAAUUUUACUUUAUCAGAGUUUUGUGUGGAUUAACAAAUGAAGAACUUUGGAAAAUUGUUUAUUUGUUUUGUUUUGUAUUGCAGUGAAAUACUAUUUUAUGAAUUAAGGUAUGCUUGGAAGUUCCCUUGAAAUUACGAUGGUUUUGUAAUGUUGACCCCAUGAUUAAGAUUAUCAUAG